ACCUGGCUGGCUCAGUCACUGGAGCGUGUGAGUCUUGAUCUUGAGGUUGUGAGUUCGAACCCCACGUUGGGUG
rnacentral:tRNA from 1 species